rnacentral:hammerhead_ribozyme from 1 species
AUCCAGCUGACAAGUCCCGAAUAAGACGAAACGCGCGUUCUGAAU